GGCUGGAAUGCAGUGGCCAAUUUCAGUUUACUGCAACCUCUGCCUCCCAGGUUCAGGUGAUUCUCCUGCCUCAACAUCCUGAAUAGUUGGGAUUAUAGGUACCCACCACCACGCCUGGCUAAUUUUUGUGUUUUUAGUAGAGAUGGUGUUUUGCCAUGUUGGCCAGGCUGGUCUCAAACUCCCGGCCUCAGGUAGUCCACCUGCCUCGGCCUCCCAACGUGCUAGGAUUACAGGCAUGAGCCACCGUGCAGGGCCUAUUCAUUGUUUUUUUGUUAAUUCUCUAAGGAUUAACUUUUGGGCCAUGUUGGACUGACAGAUUCUGUCCUUUGCUCUGCUUAUGUUUUCCCUUCUAUUUUCAGGUAGUGAUUAAGACUGUGAAGACAGAAGGUCUGAAUUAGCAAUUUUUCAGGCAGCUGACUUAAUAAUUUAGACUAAAAUUCGUUCCAGGAUGCUUGCUCACCUCCUGCAUGUGGUGUCCUAGAAAGCCUCUUGUUUCUCCAGCUGUCCUCCCCGGCAGCAUUGGCAUCACCUGGGAGAUUGCUAGAGAUGCAGAUCCCAGGCCCUCGCAGAUCCAUGGAGUCAUCACCUGCAUUUUAGCAAGAGUUCCAGGCCAACACACAUCAGAGGCACUCAAUAGAUAUCUGGUGAAUGAAUGAGGAGUGAGUAAAUGAAUAAAGUAAAAUACAGAUGACCCUCAAUUUGGACAUAAUGCAUUCCUAGAGACUGCUUCAUAAAGGAUAUUGCUUAAAGGCAAAACACCGACUGCAAGAAUGCCACCACUUUUGUCUGUAAAAUUCAUUACAAAUUGACAGCAGAUAAAGUAGCAUAUAUAUCUCUUCAUUAGGUAACAGCAAAUAAAUGGAAAGGCAAAAGAGGGCCACAAUGAAGCAUGAACAAUGUAUAGAAUUCUAGUAAAAGAUGAUUGCAUAAGGACAUUUUUACCUUGCUUCUCUUUAUGAAAGUGUCCAUCAAUAUGAAGAAAAAGAAGGGAAGAACCACCAUCUUCUCCAUGACAGCAUGCCUAAAGCUAGUCUAAUCUUCUCUCUGUCUUGAAAGGUUUUAUGGAUCCUGUGAGUCUGCUUAUCACAGUCAUUUGAAGAGAGAAACAACAACUGCCAAUCAUGAAACAGAGGAUGUGUGAGAUAUGGGCUUGCUGUGAACCAAGAUGAUCCAAAGGGGAUGCUGAAAGCUUAGCAGAACCAAAUACUCAAAUAGAAAAAAUGUGGCUGAUUUGCUUCAACAGCUUUCCGAGAUAAUAUACCAAAGUGGAAACUGAUAGCUUCUCCAGAUCAUACUUGCUCAUUCUGUCCCCGAUUCUUGGGCAGAACUCUGGUCUAGAGAGAACUUUCCUUAUUCCAAGAAGCACCGUGAGCAGAAGACCUAAAACAAGACCCAUAGAGUAAAGGGACAUGGGAAACAAAAUGGCAAAUCUGACAUCAGAAAAAAAUGAAGAAGAAAAUAAAUAAAAAAUAUAGCCUUCAUACUUUUAAGUAAAAUGAGUGUAAGCUAGUUGCAAAAGACAUAAAAUUAAUAAAAGAUAACAACUUAAUAAAAGA